rnacentral:tRNA from 1 species
CGGGUGGAGCAGAUGGUAGCUCGCUAGGCUCAUAACCUAUAGUUCGCAGGCUCAAGUCCUGCUCAAUCAACCA